rnacentral:rRNA from 1 species
AUUGAACGCUGGCGGCAUGCCUUACACAUGCAAGUCGAACGGUAACAGGUCUUCGGAUGCUGACGAGUGGCGAACGGGUGAGUAAUACAUCGGAACGUGCCUAGUAGUGGGGGAUAACUACUCGAAAGAGUGGCUAAUACCGCAUGAGAUCUACGGAUGAAAGCAGGGGAUCGCAAGGCCUUGUGCUACUAGAGCGGCCGAUGGCAGAUUAGGUAGUUGGUGGGAUAAAAGCUUACCAAGCCGACGAUCUGUAGCUGGUCUGAGAGGACGAUCAGCCCCACGGGGACUGAGACACGGCCCAGACUCCUACGGGAGGCGGAAGUGGGGGAUUUUGGACAAUGGGCGCAAGCCUGAUCCAGCAAUGCCGCGUGCAGGAUGAAGGCCUUCGGGUUGUAAACUGCUUUUGUACGGAACGAAAAGCCCUGGGUUAAUACCCUGGGGUCAUGACGGUACCGUAAGAAUAAGCACCGGCUAACUACGUGCCAGCAGCCGCCGUAACAC